GGUUUUUUGGAUUGAUGAGAAAUCGGGCCUGCUCUAUGAGAUUUAAAUGGCCGCAGUAUAUUGACUGUGCUAAGGUAGCAUAAUAAUUAGUCUUGUGAUUUAAGACUGGAAUGAAUGGUUUGACAAAGGAACAGCUGUUUUAGGGUUAAGAGAUUGAAAUUAAUUUAGUUGUGAGAAAGCAGCUAUAAUCUUGAGGGACGAGAAGACCCUAUUGAGUUUUAUUUAGAAAUUUUAUGAAGGAUUAAAUUAGAUUAUUUUAGAUUAUAAUAAAUUUUACUGGGGCGGUGUUGGGAGAUUUAAUCUCCCAAGAAAAUAUUUAGAGUAUGGUGAUAGGAAGGAUCCAGCAUUGUAGGUGUUGAGAGGUAGAUUAAAUUACUAUAGGGAUAACAGCGUAAUACUAUUGGAGAGUUCUUAUUAAUAAUAGAUUUUGCGACCUCGAUGUUGAAUUAAGGUAAUUGUUUGGUGAAGGAGCUAAAUUAAUGAGUCUGUUCGACUUUUGAAUCUUUACA
rnacentral:rRNA from 1 species